UACAGAGGGUGCAAGCGUUAAUCGGAAUUACUGGGCGUAAAGGGUGCGUAGGUGGUUAAUUAAGUCAGACGUGAAAUCCCAAGGCUUAACCUUGGAAAGUCGUUUGAAACUGAUUGGCUAGAGAACAGAAGAGGGAAGUGGAAUUUCCGGUGUAGCGGUGAAAUGCGUAGAUAUCGGAAGGAACAUCAGUGGCGAAGGCGACUUCCUGGUCUGUGACUGACACUGAGGCACGAAAGCGUGGGGAGCGAAC
rnacentral:rRNA from 1 species